rnacentral:siRNA from 1 species
GGUGCUGCCGCUGCAAUGCAACAU